GCUCCAAGCUCACUCCUGUGAUAGACUACAAUCUCACGUUUAUUUUACUAAUGUGUACUGAGGUUGUAGUCCGUCACGUGAGGGGGUUGGGUCCUAUGG